rnacentral:rRNA from 1 species
AUGGAUGGAUCCGUCGAUCUCAACUCGUGCUACCACGCAGUACGCACGGUUGGGGAGAAUGGGGACGAACGCCGCCACGUUCGCUCAGUUGGUUCGGCGCGCGUCCAAACAAAAAGCACGAACGCCUGCUUCUUCUCCUACGAUACGAAGCUGCAUGUAUGCGGCAGGGUAACAUGCAUGGGCAGACAGGGGAACGUGUCAGUGUCAACGUGCAUGCAUACGGGAUGCAUCCAAAUCCACCACGCCGCGUGGGUGCGACACGAUCGAUCGACCAAACGCGUACGUAGGGGCGCGAAAGGCAAAAGGCAUUCGGACUAG